CCUACGUGUGGCAGCAGUGAGGAAUAUUGGUCAAUGGCCGCAAGGCUGAACCAGCCAAGUAGCGUGAGGGAUGACGGUCCUACGGAUUGUAAACCUCUUUUGUCAGGGAGUAAAGUGCGCCACGUGUGCCUUUUUGUAUGUACUUUAAGAAUAAGCAUCGGCUAACUCCGUGCCAGCAGCCGCGGUAAUACGGAGGAUGCGAGCGUUAUCCGGAUUGAGUGGGUUUAAAGGGAGCGUAGAUGGGUAUGUAAGCCAGUGGUGAAAGUUUGCGGCUCAACCGUAAAAUUGCAAUUGAUACUGGCAGUCUGGAGUACAGGUGAGGCAGGCGGAAUUCGUGGUGUAGCGGUGAAAUGCGUAGAUAUCACGAGGAACUCCGAUUGCGAAGGCAGCUUACUAAACUGCCACUGACAUUGAGGCUCGAAAGUGUGGGUAGCAAACAGGAUUAGAUACCCCAGUAGUC
rnacentral:rRNA from 1 species